UGCGGGGUGGAGCAGUCUGGUAGCUCGUCGGGCUCAUAACCCGAAGGUCGCAGGUUCAAAUCCUGUCCCCGCUA
rnacentral:tRNA from 1 species